rnacentral:tRNA from 1 species
GGAAUUAGUUCAAUGGUAGAGCAGCGGUCUCCAAAACCGUAGAUACGGGUUCGAAUCCUGUAUUCC